rnacentral:rRNA from 1 species
UUUAUUAAGACCCUUGAGGUAUAUAAAGCAACAGCACGUAAAAAAGAAUUUAUGGAAAUUCUUUGGGGAUUGAUAUGAGAUGAGAGGGGCAACGGAUUUGUAACACGAAAGCAAACCUACCGUUACACAGGCGGGAUACCCGUUCGAAACGACGAUUAAUACCGCAUGAGACCACAGAUAUCGCAUGAUAUAGGGGUCAAAGAUUAAUCGGUGUAAGAAGGGCUCGCGUCUGAUUAGCUAGUUGGAAGGGUAAAGGCCUACCAAGGCGACGAUCAGUAGCCGGUCUGAGAGGAUGAACGGCCACAUUGGAACUGAGACACGGUCCAAACUCCUACGGGAGGCAGCAGUGGGGAAUAUUGCACAAUGGGGGGAACCCUGAUGCAGCGACGCCGCGUGAGCGAAGAAGGUUUUAAAAACGUAAAGCUCUGUCCUAUGAGAAGAUAAUGACGGUAUCAUAGGAGGAAGCCCCGGCUAAAUACGUGCCAGCAGCCGCGGUAAUACGUAUGGGGCGAGCGUUGUCCGGAAUUAUUGGGCGUAAAGGGUACGUAGGCGGUUUUUUAAGUCAGGUGUGAAAGCGUGAGGCUUAACCUCAUUAAGCACUUGAAACUGGAAGACUUGAGUGAAGGAGAGGAAAGUGGAAUUCCUAGUGUAGCGGUGAAAUGCGUAGAUAUUAGGAGGAAUACCGGUGGCGAAGGCGACUUUCUGGACUUUUACUGACGCUCAGGUACGAAAGCGUGGGGAGCAAACAGG